CUAGGUCAGAGAGUUCCUUACUACCAUGAUGCCCCACAAACUCACGAAGUAAGACCAGGUCAGAGAGUUCCUUACUACCAUGAUGCCCCACAAACUCACAAAGUAAGACUAGGUCAGAGAGUUCCUUACUACCAUGAUGCCCCACAAUUCACAAAUUAAGACUAGGUCAGAGAGUUCCUUACUACCAUGAUGCCCCACAAACUCACAAAGUAAGACUAGGUCAGAGAGUUCCUUACUACCAUGAUGCCCCACAAACUCACAAAGUAAGACUAGGUCAGAGAGUUCCUUACUACCAUGAUGCCCCACAAACUCACAAAGUAAGACUAGGUCAGAGAGUUCCUUACUACCAUGAUGCCCCACAAACUCACAAAGUAAGACUAGGUCAGAGAGUUCCUUACUACCAUGAUGCCCCACAAACUCACAAAGUAAGACUAGGUCAGAGAGUUCCUUACUACCAUGAUGCCCCACAAACUCACAAAGUAAGACUAGGUGUCUAUGACGUUGCCUGAAAACUAAAUAUCAAACGAAAUUGUAAAACAAUCCUGGACAUUUUGAAAAGAAAUAUUUGUAUUGUU